rnacentral:rRNA from 1 species
GCCCCCCGAAUUGUGGUCUAGAGAGGCGUUAUCGGCCGCGCCCGCCGCUCAAGUCCCUUGGAACAGGGUGUCGGAGAGGGUGAGAAUCCCGUACCGUGGCGGGUUGCGGCCUUACGAUGCGUCCUCGUCGAGUCGGGUUGCUUGGGAUUGCAGCUUGAAUUGGGUGGUAAAUUCCAUCUAAAGCUAAAUAUGGGCGAGAGACCGAUAGCGAACAAGUACCGUGAGGGAAAGAUGCAAAGAACUUUGAAAAGAGAGUCAAAGAGUGCUUGAAAUCGGUAGGAGGAAACCCGGAUGGGCCCGGCUUCGGCGCGCCGACUCAGCCUGGGGUUCUCCCCAGGUGCACUUCUGCGCGCCGGGUCAGCCGCGCCUCGGCGCCGCGCCUCAACCCGGGAGCGGGGCUUUACGGCCAGCUCCCGUCCUGGCGCGGCCCGGGGCCCGGCUGACGGAACGGGCCCCUCCGACCCGUCUAGAAACACGGACCAAGGAGUCUGACACGUGUGCGAGUACCCGGGUGGCAAGCCCGCGUGCGGAAUGAAAGUGAAGGGCAUGCCCUGCCAACCGACCUUGACCUGCUGUGAGGGGUUUGAGUGGAGCGCACCUGUCGGGACCCGAAAGAUGGUGAACUAUGCCUGGGUAGGGUGAAGCCAGAGGAAACUCUGGUGGAGGCUCGUAGCGAUACUGACGUGCAAAUCGUUCGUCGAACAUGGGUAUAGGGGCGAAAGACUAAUCGAACCAUCUAGUAGCUGGUUCCCUCCGAAGUUUCCCUCAGGAUAGCUGGGACAAGUACGCAGUUUUA